rnacentral:rRNA from 1 species
AGAGUUUGAUCCUGGCUCAGGACGAACGCUGGCGGCGCGCCUAACACAUGCAAGUCGAACGAGAGAUGAGGAGCUUGCUCUUCAGAUCGAGUGGCGAACGGGUGAGUAACGCGUGAGGAACCUGCCUCAAAGAGGGGGACAACAGUUGGAAACGACUGCUAAUACCGCAUAAGCCCACGGCUCGGCAUCGAGCAGAGGGAAAAGGAGCAAUCCGCUUUGAGAUGGCCUCGCGUCCGAUUAGCUAGUUGGUGAGGUAACGGCCCACCAAGGCGACGAUCGGUAGCCGGACUGAGAGGUUGAACGGCCACAUUGGGACUGAGACACGGCCCAGACUCCUACGGGAGGCAGCAGUGGGGAAUAUUGCACAAUGGGGGAAACCCUGAUGCAGCGACGCCGCGUGGAGGAAGAAGGUCUUCGGAUUGUAAACUCCUGUUGUUGAGGAAGAUAAUGACGGUACUCAACAAGGAAGUGACGGCUAACUACGUGCCAGCAGCCGCGGUAAAACGUAGGUCACAAGCGUUGUCCGGAAUUACUGGGUGUAAAGGGAGCGCAGGCGGGAGAACAAGUUGGAAGUGAAAUCCAUGGGCUCAACCCAUGAACUGCUUUCAAAACUGUUUUUCUUGAGUAGUGCAGAGGUAGGCGGAAUUCCCGGUGUAGCGGUGGAAUGCGUAGAUAUCGGGAGGAACACCAGUGGCGAAGGCGGCCUACUGGGCACCAACUGACGCUGAGGCUCGAAAGUGUGGGUAGCAAACAGGAUUAGAUACCCUGGUAGUCCACACCGUAAACGAUGAUUACUAGGUGUUGGAGGAUUGACCCCUUCAGUGCCGCAGUUAACACAAUAAGUAAUCCACCUGGGGAGUACGACCGCAAGGUUGAAACUCAAAGGAAUUGACGGGGGCCCGCACAAGCAGUGGAGUAUGU